UGAUACUAAGCCAUGCGAGUCAUUGCAGUAAUGCAAGGCAGACGGCUCAGUAACGCGUAGUCAACCUACCCUAUGGACGGGAAUAACCUCGGGAAACUGAGUAUAAUGCCCGAUAGAACACUAUUCCUGGAAUGGUUUGUGUUCCAAAUGAUUUAUCGCCGUAGGAUGGGACUGCGGCCUAUCAGUUUGUUGGUGAGGUAAUGGCCCACCAAGACUAUUACAGGUACGGGCUCUGAGAGGAGUAGCCCGGAGAUGGGUACUGAGACACGGACCCAGGCCCUAUGGGGCGCAGCAGGCGAGAAAACUUUGCAAUGUGCGAAAGCACGACAAGGUUAAUCCGAGUGGUUUGUGCUAAACGAACCUUUUGACAGUCCUAGAAACACUGUUGAAUAAGGGGUGGGCAAGUUCUGGUGUCAGCCGCCGCGGUAAAACCAGCACCUCAAGUGGUCAGGAUGAUUAUUGGGCCUAAAGCAUCCGUAGCCGGCUCUGUAAGUUUUCGGUUAAAUCUGUACGCUCAACGUACAGGCUGCCGGGAAUACUGCAGAGCUAGGGAGUGGGAGAGGUAGACGGUACUCGGUAGGAAGGGGUAAAAUCCUUUGAUCUAUUGAUGACCACCUGUGGCGAAGGCGGUCUACCAGAACACGUCCGACGGUGAGGGAUGAAAGCUGGGGGAGCAAACUGGAUUAGAUACCCGGGUAGUCCCAGCUGUAAACUAUGCAAACUCAGUGAUGCAUUGGCUUGUGGCCAAUGCAGUGCUGCAGGGAAGCCGUUAAGUUUGCCGCCUGGGAAGUACGUACGCAAGUAUGAAACUUAAAGGAAUUGGCGGGGGAGCACCACAAGGGGUGAAGCCUGCGGUUCAAUUGG
rnacentral:rRNA from 1 species